GAAUAGUUUAUAAUUGUUCCUCAUGUUUCAUCUGUAAUCUGUGUAGGCUAUAUGAGGAAAUAUGUGCAUGCCUUAUGUAGGUUUUAAUCAAUGUUUUUGCAAAAAAAAACAAAAAAAAAAACAAUCUACAGCACGUUUACCAUUUUUUAAAGCUAUAUUAUAUUAUUAGACUAUUAGCCUACAUGACUUAAAACAUUGUUUUAUAGUUUGACGAUGGCCACAGGCCUACUAUCCACUUAAUAAUGCAUCAAGUUUCAGCUGAUUGUCAAAUAAUUCACUCCAUCUCAAUGCUGCGUAACUCUGCGUGUUUUAAUCAAUGGGCGCACGCGCUGAACAUUCGAGCCGCAUUUGAACUGGAGCAGACAACGUUACCAUGGAAACCGGGCGGUAGCUCAACUGACAACGAUCAGCACAGCUCCAUCUCUCGCUGUUGUUUUCACUACUUUCAGUAUUGUUAGCUCCAACCCCAAUUAAUCAGACCUGAGCAGCUGACUAAACAUCACCAGAAACUCUGCAGAACACUGGCCCUGGUCUGGUCUGGAUGCCACUGUUGCUAAAGCAUUUCAAGUAAAAACUUAAGUCGUGGCUUAAUAAUCCGGGGUUGGGAUGGUGGAAGGAGCAGAAGAACCAGAAGAUCGGAGAUCAGGAAGAUAUCUGUUGGUGCCUCUGAGGGAACUGAUUUAAUGUGUAGAAUUUAACCAAAAAUGUUCGUCACUCACCUUCAUGUCGUUGCAAACCUGUAAGACUUUCGUUCAUCUUUGAAAGAUAUUUUUAAUGAAAUCUGAGAGGUUUCUGUCCCUCAAUUUCACAGUUUAUGCAACUACCACUUUCAAGCUUCAGAAACGUAAGACAUUAUAAAAAUAAUCAAUAGAGGGUUUGCACCCACGUCACGAUUUGGCCAGUUACCCGGAUGCGCGGCUAUAUUCGAGAUACUCGGAUGUAAACAACAGCAUUGAUUGCACUGUUUAUGUACUACUGAACACAUUGUUACACUAAUUUAUGAUGU